UCGAAUGAAGAAGGCAGUGGAUUGUGAAUCCACCAUGCGCGGGUUCAAUUCCCGUCGUUCGCC
rnacentral:tRNA from 1 species